GAACACGGGGAGAGUUGAGAAGUUACAAGUAGUUUGCUAUAUGACUGAGUCCAUGAGCCUGGAAUUAGAUAUUAUCUGAGGCUGUGUCCUAGCCCAAUCAAUGUGGGACUUGGGGAAGGGACAAAUCCUAGCCUACAGAAGAAAAGGACAGGAAUUUAUUGACUCCUGAUUGGGAGAUUUUUAAGCCAGUUUGUUCCCAAUCAGUACACCAUUCAGUUUUGCCUUUUCUCUAAGACACCGUCCCUUUCUAUAGAACUGUAAAUUAGGAACUGCUUCAUUUUCACUUGUCUCCUGAAUUUAUUCUCAUCUUAUUUCCAACAGGGAGAGACAUCAAUGCAAAUGCUUUUCCCCAAUCCUAAGGUUUUCAAUAUAAAAGAUGGAACAUAGCCACCAGUGAUGACUACUUUCCUACUGCUACAUAUAAUAGUUUUGUUAUUUAUACUAAAACCACAAUGAACUUUCAGAGUGUUUUAACUAACUCAAGACUCAAGGGAAAAAGGAAAAAAAACCAAAACACUUUUCAAUUUAAAGUGACAAUUCCUUGUUUUCAGUCAGGAUGUUUCCUCUAAGAGGUCACAAGGCUCUUACUCAGUGGUUGUGUGGGCAGCUUGGGUCAUAGGGCAGGGUCCCUCCCACACCGGGAAAAGCAAGCCCAUUAUUUUUGGCUCUGUGUCUAAGAAUAUGGAUCUUCAUGAGCUCAACACAAGGAAAACACUUUUCAUUUAAUGGUAGCUAUGGACACGGCCCUUGUCUCUCUGAAGACAGCUCUGCCUAGCCUGUUUUGAGCCUGAUGUUUUUCUACGUAGCUAGCCUAUGAAGGCUGAGAUGGAGAGAC
rnacentral:lncRNA from 1 species